AUUGAACGCUGGCGGCAGGCCUAACACAUGCAAGUCGAGCGGAUGAUGGGAGCUUGCUCCUUGAUUCAGCGGCGGACGGGUGAGUAAUGCCUAGGAAUCUGCCUGGUAGUGGGGGACAACGUUUCGAAAGGAACGCUAAUACCGCAUACGUCCUACGGGAGAAAGCAGGGGACCUUCGGGCCUUGCGCUAUCAGAUGAGCCUAGGUCGGAUUAGCUAGUUGGUGGGGUAAUGGCUCACCAAGGCGACGAUCCGUAACUGGUCUGAGAGGAUGAUCAGUCACACUGGAACUGAGACACGGUCCAGACUCCUACGGGAGGCAGCAGUGGGGAAUAUUGGACAAUGGGCGAAAGCCUGAUCCAGCCAUGCCGCGUGUGUGAAGAAGGUCUUCGGAUUGUAAAGCACUUUAAGUUGGGAGGAAGGGCAGUAAGCUAAUACCUUGCUGUUUUGACGUUACCGACAGAAUAAGCACCGGCUAACUCUGUGCCAGCAGCCGCCGUAAUAC
rnacentral:rRNA from 1 species